AUUGAACGCUGGCGGCAGGCCUAACACAUGCAAGUCGAACGGUAACAGGAAGAAGCUUGCUUCUUUGCUGACGAGUGGCGGACGGGUGAGUAAUGUCUGGGAAACUGCCUGAUGGAGGGGGAUAACUACUGGAAACGGUAGCUAAUACCGCAUAACGUCGCAAGACCAAAGAGGGGGACCUUCGGGCCUCUUGCCAUCGGAUGUGCCCAGAUGGGAUUAGCUAGCAGGUGGGGUAACGGCUCACCUAGGCGACGAUCCCUAGCUGGUCUGAGGGGAUGACCAGCCACACUGGAACUGAGACACGGUCCAGACUCCUACGGGAGGCAGCAGUGGGGAAUAUUGCACAAUGGGCGCAAGCCUGAUGCAGCCAUGCCGCGUGUAUGAAGAAGGCCUUCGGGUUGUAAAGUACUUUCAGCGGGGAGGAAGGGAGUAAAGUUAAUACCUUUGCUCAUUGACGUUACCCGCAGAAGAAGCACCGGCUAACUCCGUGCCAGCAGCCGCGGUAAUACGGAGGGUGCAAGCGUUAAUCGGAAUUACUGGGCGUAAAGCGCACGCAGGCGGUUUGUUAAGUCAGAUGUGAAAUCCCCGGGCUCAACCUGGGAACUGCAUCUGAUACUGGCAAGCUUGAGUCUCGUAGAGGGGGGUAGAAUUCCAGGUGUAGCGGUGAAAUGCGUAGAGAUCUGGAGGAAUACCGGUGGCGAAGGCGGCCCCCUGGACGAAGACUGACGCUCAGGUGCGAAAGCGUGGGGAGCAAAACAGG
rnacentral:rRNA from 1 species